CCAGACUCCUACGGGAGGCAGCAGUGGGGAAUAUUGCACAAUGGGGGAAACCCUGAUGCAGCGACGCCGCGUGAGUGAAGAAGUAAUUCGUUAUGUAAAGCUCUAUCAGCAGGGAAGAAAAUGACGGUACCUGAGUAAGAAGCCCCGGCUAACUACGUGCCAGCAGCCGCGGUAAUACGUAGGGGGCAAGCGUUAUCCGGAUUUACUGGGUGUAAAGGGAGCGUAGACGGCAGUGCAAGUCUGGAGUGAAAGGCGGGGGCUCAACCAUGGGACUGCUUUUGAAACUGUCAAACUAGAGUACGGGAGAGGUAAGAGGAAUUCCUAGUGUAGCGGUGAAAUGCGUAGAUAUUAGGAGGAACACCAGUGGCGAAGGCGUCUUACUGGACCGAAACUGACGUUGAGGCUCGAAAGCGUGGGGAGCAAACAGGAUUAGAUACCCCCGUAAA
rnacentral:rRNA from 1 species